AAGAUAUCAUCAUCGUCACCACCAUCCUCAUCAGUCACCAUCAGUGGGUCCUCUCUACAGCGUGCUCUCUCUCAUAGAGGGGGAGUGUCAUGACUCUCUACAGUGUGCUCUCUCUCGUAGAGGGGGAGUGUCAUGACUCUCUACAGUGUGCUCUCUCUCGUAGAGGGGGAGUGUCAUGACUCUCUACAGUGUGCUCUCUCUCAUAGAGGGGGAGUGUCAUGACUCUCUACAGUGUGCUCUCUCUCAUAGAGGGGGAGUGUCAUGACUCUCUACAGUGUGCUCUCUCUCAUAGAGGGGGAGUGUCAUGACUCUCUACAGUGUGCUCUCUCUCAUAGAGGGGGAGUGUCAUGACUCUCUACAGUGUGCUCUCUCUCAUAGAGGGGGAGUGUCAUGACUCUCUACAGUGUGCUCUCUCUCAUAGAGGGGGAGUGUCAUGACUCUCUACAGUGUGCUCUCUCUCAUAGAGGGGGAGUGUCAUGACUCUCUACAGUGUGCUCUCUCUCGUAGAGGGGGAGUGUCAUGACUCUCUACAGUGUGCUCUCUCUCGUAGAGGGGGAGUGUCAUGACUCUCUACAGUGUGCUCUCUCUCAUAGAGGGGGAGUGUCAUGACUCUCUACAGUGUGCUCUCUCUCAUAGAGGGGGAGUGUCAUGACUCUCUACAGCGUGCUCUCUCUCAUAGAGGGGGAGUGUCAUGACUCUCUACAGUGUGCUCUCUCUCAUAGAGGGGGAGUGUCAUGACUCUCUACAGCGUGCUCUCUCUCAUAGAGGGGGAGUGUCAUGACUCUCUACAGUGUGCUCUCUCUCGUAGAGGGGGAGUGUCAUGACUCUCUACAGUGUGCUCUCUCUCAUAGAGGGGGAGUGUCAUGACUCUCUACAGUGUGCUCUCUCUCGUAGAGGGGGAGUGUCAUGACUCUCUACAGCGUGCUCUCUCUCAUAGAGGGGGAGUGUCAUGACUCUCUACAGCGUGCUCUCUCUCAUAGAGGGGGAGUGUCAUGACUCUCUACAGUGUGCUCUCUCUCAUAGAGGGGGAGUGUCAUGACUCUCUACAGUGUGCUCUCUCUCGUAGAGGGGGAGUGUCAUGACUCUCUACAGCGUGCUCUCUCUCAUAGAGGGGGAGUGUCAUGACUCUCUACAGUGUGCUCUCUCUCAUAGAGGGGGAGUGUCAUGACUCUCUACAGCGUGCUCUCUCUCAGAAGGGGGGGACUGUUUUAUGGCGGUCGUAAAAUACCCCUAUGCUCUGUAGUGUUCGAGGUUGGAAUGUAAACUGUGGAACACAGAGAGACACUUGGACAAUCAGAAGUUUUGAUAAUUAAGCAAUGUGGGAAUGGUCUGUGGAUAUUUAAAGAACAAUGCUGUCAAAGUUGUUUCAAUUGGUGACCUCAUGGUGACCUCAUGGUGACCUCAUGAAAGACAGGAGACCCACAUGAUUGUAUCUCCGCUUGUGUUUUCAAUGAUCAGACUCGCAUCUAGAUGUUGGAUAAAAUGAAUGACUGAAUAUGAAACUAUUUGUGAAAAGAUGUAAUGUAAUGUUGGCCUUCUAAAUGAGAAUUGUUCUCCAUAGAAAACAGUGAACUAGUCAGUGGCCACGCCCCCGUGAGGCCAGACAUUACAUCAUGGAACCGCCCCCUUCUUCCACAGAGUAUAAAACCCACUUCUGACUAAAUUUACAUUAAGUCAGAGAACGCCGGGACGGAUGGCUACGAUUCUAUAGGCCACUGGACCACGCAAACCACGGUGUAAGCUAAGGUGGCAAAAUGGUUGAAUUUCUAAGACCAGAAUUAUAUGAAGUGGUUGGCACUACAACUCUACCAAAGGACAAGACCAUACAGCGUGGAGCAUUGGCUACACAGCUGGAAAUGGUUCAACUAUCGAGACUAUCGAUUCACUACAGAAGUAAGAAAUCCUAGGACGUCAAACUAACCGUGUGUAGCUGGAAAUGUACGAAGCCUCGGACAAGAAUACAGGCAACCGCCGAAACAUCAAUCAUAUGCGACAACAUUGGGUACGGCUGACGUCUCCAUUACAACCAGAGACUUUUCUGUCUACUCUCUCCAGCAGAUGGACCGGGAGACAAGACAUCAAUCAUAUGCGACAACAUUGGGUACGGCUGACGUAUCCAUUACAACCAGAGACUUUUCUGUCUACUCUCUCCAGCAGAUGGACCGGGAGACAAGACAUCAAUCAUAUGCGACAACAUUGGGUACGCCUGACGUAUCCAUUAUGAACACAACCAGAGACUUUUCUGUCUACUCUCUCCAGCAGAUGGACCGGCCGACCACAGAGGGAGACAACAAGACAUACACUCGGAAAUAUGUAAAUUGCCAUUUAUUUUCGAAUGAGCGGUUGUUCAUAUUCAAAGUACUAGCGAUUUCUAUGAGUGUAGUAAUCAGCUAUGAGUCUCCCGCUCUUGAGCAGUCCCCACCCCCUUUCCUUUUGUCUACCAAGCCGUCAUAUCAGUUUGGUCCGCUAGGGACUUUUUCUUUGUAUCAUGUAGUAACCAAUGUAUGACCUAUUGUGUGUUUAUGUAAUUAUGUGAUUAAGUUAGUUAGUAAAUAAAUAAUUAAGCCCAUUUUUUUAUAUCACAGAUUAAUGAUUCUAUGCUAGGGUUGGUGCAGAUAUCCAAGGGUUUGCGACGUUCAGUAAUGAGAACUGAUGCGGUAACAAUACAUUAAUAAGUGACUGUAAACGAUAAGAUAUGAAAGCAUCUGAAGAGUUAUAGUGGGGGAAAUUGACACUCUAUAAAUAACAUGUUCCCGUGGUGCCCCAACUUCCUAGUUAAAUUUACAUUUGUUGAAUUGUGUAAUUAAAAUAAACAUAGAGAAUUGAUUUGAUAACAUUGUCUUCACAUUUAAUUAAAGUCAACGACACGACACCAGUGACUUACCAUUAGGCAGAAGAGGUAGAUAUCAUCACCAGUGACUUACCAUUAGACAGAAGAGGUAGAUAUCAUCACCAGUGACUUACCAUUAGGCAGAAGAGGUAGAUAUCAUCACCAGUGACUUACCAUUAGGCAGAAGAGGCAGAUAUCAUCACCAGUGACUUACCAUUAGGCAGAAGAGGUAGAUAUCAUCACCAGUGACUUACCAUUAGGCAGAAGAGGUAGAUAUCAUCACCAGUGACUUACCAUUAGACAGAUAUCAUUACCAGUGACUUACCAUUAGGCAGAAGAGGCAGAUAUCAUCACCAGUGACUUACCAUUAGGCAGAUAUCAUCACCAGUGACUUACCAUUAGACAGAUAUCAUUACCAGUGACUUACCAUUAGGCAGAAGAGGUAGAUAUCAUUACCAGUGACUUACCAUUAGGCAGAAGAGGUAGAUAUCAUUACCAGUGACUUACCAUUAGGCAGAAGAGGUAGAUAUCAUUACCAGUGACUUACCAUUAGACAGAUAUCAUCACCAGUGACUUACCAUUAGACAGAUAUCAUUACCAGUGACUUACCAUUAGACAGAUAUCAUCACCAGUGACUUACCAUUAGGCAGAAGAGGUAGAUAUCAUCACCAGUGACUUACCAUUAGACAGAUAUCAUUACCAGUGACUUACCAUUAGACAGAUAUCAUUACCAGUGACUUACCAUUAGACAGAUAUCAUUACCAGUGACUUACCAUUAGACAGAUAUCAUCACCAGUGACUUACCAUUAGGCAGAAGAGGUAGAUAUCAUCACCAGUGACUUACCAUUAGGCAGAAGAGGUAGAUAUCAUCACCAGUGACUUACCAUUAGGCAGAAGAGGUAGAUAUCAUUACCAGUGACUUACCAUUAGGCAGAAGAGGUAGAUAUCAUUACCAGUGACUUACCAUUAGGCAGAAGAGGUAGAUAUCAUUACCAGUGACUUACCAUUAGGCAGAAGAGGCAGAUAUCAUCAACAAUGACUUCUGAGCCGAUUGUGUUUUUUUGUUCGUUUAUAACUUAUUUUUUUACAUAAUGUUGCUGCUACCGUCUCUUAUGACCGAAAAUAACUUCUAGACAUCAGG